rnacentral:rRNA from 1 species
CACGUAGGGUGCGAGCGUUGUCCGGAAUUAUUGGGCGUAAAGAGCUCGUAGGCGGUGUGUCGCGUCGGCCGUGAAAACUUGCAGCUUAACUGUGGGCGUGCGGGCGAUACGGGCAGACUGGAGUACUGCAGGGGAGACUGGAAUUCCAGGUGUAGCGGUGAAAUGCGUAGAUAUCUGAAGGAACAUCAGUGGCGAAAGCGACUUCCUGGACCAAUACUGACGCUCAUGUGCGAAAGCGUGGGGAGCAAACAGG